UGCAGUCGAGGGGUAUAUUUCUUCGGAAUUAGAGACCGGCGCACGGGUGCGUAACGCGUAUGCAAUCUACCUUUUACAGAGGGAUAGCCCAGAGAAAUUUGGAUUAAUACCUCAUAGUAUAGUACAACCGCAUGGUUGAAUUAUUAAAGUCACAACGGUAAGAGAUGAGCAUGCGUCCCAUUAGCUAGUUGGUAAGGUAACGGCUUACCAAGGCGACGAUGGGUAGGGGUCCUGAGAGGGAGAUCCCCCACACUGGUACUGAGACACGGACCAGACUCCUACGGGAGGCAGCAGUGAGGAAUAUUGGUCAAUGGGCGCAAGCCUGAACCAGCCAUGCCGCGUGCAGGAUGACGGUCCUAUGGAUUGUAAACUGCUUUUAUACAGGAAGAAACACUCCGACGUGUCGGAGCUUGACGGUACUGUAAGAAUAAGGAUCGGCUAACUCCGUGCCAGCAGCCGCGGUAAUACGGAGGAUCCAAGCGUUAUCCGGAAUCAUUGGGUUUAAAGGGUCCGUAGGCGGUUUAGUAAGUCAGUGGUGAAAGCCCAUCGCUCAACGGUGGAACGGCCAUUGAUACUGCUAGACUUGAAUUAUUAGGAAGUAACUAGAAUAUGUAGUGUAGCGGUGAAAUGCUUAGAGAUUACAUGGAAUACCAAUUGCGAAGGCAGGUUACUACUAAUGGAUUGGCGCUGAUGGACGAAAGCGUGGGUAGCGAACAGGAUUAGAUACCCUGGUAGUCCACGCCGUANACGAUGGAUACUAGCUGUUGGGAGCGAUCUCAGUGGCUAAGCGAAAGUGAUAAGUAUCCCACCUGGGGAGUACGUUCGCAAGAAUGAAACUCAAAGGAAUUGACGGGGGCCCGCACAAGCGGUGGAGCAUGU
rnacentral:rRNA from 1 species